rfam:Stegodyphus mimosarum contig36465, whole genome shotgun sequence.
GCCUUCGUGGUGUAUUGGUCAGCACACUCGACUCGUAACCGAGAGGUCCGUGGAUGGAUUCCCGGCGAAAACG